GGGGAUUUAGCUCAGGGGUAGAGCGCUUGCCUAGCAAGUGCAAGGCCCUGGGUUCAGUCCCCA
rnacentral:tRNA from 1 species